rnacentral:rRNA from 1 species
GGAUCCAGCCAUGCCGCGUGUGUGAAGAAGGCCUUUUGGUUGUAAAGCACUUUAAGCGAGGAGGAGGCUCCUUUAGUUAAUACCUAAAGAGAGUGGACGUUACUCGCAGAAUAAGCACCGGCUAACUCUGUGCCAGCAGCCGCGGUAAUACAGAGGGUGCGAGCGUUAAUCGGAUUUACUGGGCGUAAAGCGUGCGUAGGCGGCUUUUUAAGUCGGAUGUGAAAUCCCUGAGCUUAACUUAGGAAUUGCAUUCGAUACUGGAAAGCUAGAGUAUGGGAGAGGAUGGUAGAAUUCCAGGUGUAGCGGUGAAAUGCGUAGAGAUCUGGAGGAAUACCGAUGGCGAAGGCAGCCAUCUGGCCUAAUACUGACGCUGAGGUACGAAAGCAUGGGGAGCAAACAGGAUUAGAUACCCCGGUAGA